GACGAACGCUGGCGGCGUGCUUAACACAUGCAAGUCGAACGAUGAAGCCGGAGCUUGCUCUGGUGAAUUAGUGGCGAACGGGUGAGUAACACGUGAGUAACCUGCCCUUGAUUCUGGGAUAACUGCGGGAAACUGUAGCUAAUACCGGAUACGACCCUCGGAGGCAUCUCCUGGGGGUGGAAAGAAUUUCGGUCAAGGAUGGACUCGCGGCCUAUCAGCUAGUUGGUGAGGUAAAGGCUCACCAAGGCGACGACGGGUAGCCGGCCUGAGAGGGUGACCGGCCACAUUGGGACUGAGACACGGCCCAGACUCCUACGGGAGGCAGCAGUGGGGAAUAUUGCACAGUGGGCGCAAGCCUGAUGCAGCAACGCCGCGUGAGGGAUGACGGCCUUCGGGUUGUAAACCUCUUUUAGCAGGGAAGAAGCGAAAGUGACGGUACCUGCAGAAAAAGCACCGGCUAACUACGUGCCAGCCGCCGCAGUAA
rnacentral:rRNA from 1 species